rnacentral:tRNA from 1 species
GGCCGGCGGACGCGCUGGCGGUGGCGUCCUUCGGCGACGCCUCGGUCAACCACGCGACCGCGGCCGCGGCGUUCAACACCGCCGGCUGGUUC